rnacentral:rRNA from 1 species
CACUGAUUUCAACAAUGAAGCGAGUGGCGAACUGGUGAGUAACACGUGGGUAACCUGCCCAGAAGUAGGGGAUAACACCUGGAAACAGAUGCUAAUACCGUAUAACAGAGAAACCGCAUGGUUUUCUUUUAAAAGGUGGCUCUGCUAUCACUUCUGGAUGGACCCGCGGCGUAUUAGCUAGUUGGGUGAGGUAAAGGCUCACCAAGGCAGUGAUACGUAGCCGACCUGAGAGGGUAAUCGGCCACAUUAAGACUGAGACGCGGCCCAGACUCC